rnacentral:rRNA from 1 species
UACGAAGGGGGCAAGCGUUGUUCGGAAUUACUGGGCGUAAAGGGCGCGUAGGCGGCUUACCAAGUCAGGCGUGAAAUUCCCGGGCUCAACCUGGGGGCUGCGCUUGAUACUGGUGAGCUUGAAUGCGGGAGAGGAUAGUGGAAUUCCUAGUGUAGAGGUGAAAUUCGUAGAUAUUGGGAAGAACACCGGUGGCGAAGGCGGCUAUCUGGCCCGUAAUUGACGCUGAGGCGCGAAAGCGUGGGGAGCAAACAGG